UAUUUUCCAUCGGCAGACCCCCCUCUUCGCGUUCUGAUUUCCUCUUCUUAGUUCUCGAUUGAAAAGCAACACAGACAAUACACAAAAAGGGAAAGGAAUGAAAAAACGAAAAAAAAAAAUUGGGGAGGAAGGCAGAGAAACGUUCUUCUCCUUUCCAUUUUUAGAUUUUAUCAAGUUUUCUUGUUAAAUUUCAAAAAAAAACAAUUCAGAAAAAGUAAAAGAUAUAUUCUGAAAUCUCUUCCUUUUGGAUUUGGUUUUCAAAAAAUAGAGUCAAGCUGAAUUGGGUGUUCAGAUUUGGAGUUUCCUUCGAGAUUGGUUCCAGGUUUAAGUUCGCGGUUCCGAUUUCUUCUUGCUGUUGUAUUUUCGUCGGACUUUCAUCUUGGUGAAUAUGUCAUGGAUACUUUCUUUACAUAUUAAAGAAGAAACAUUUAACAGGUUUGAGUGUGUGUUCGAAAUUAGCAGAAUGGAUGGGAUGGAAUUGGACGUCUAAGUGGCUCUUUUGAUAGCAUUGAUUCAUUUAAUGUACUAUUUCAUCUUCCGUGGCUCAUGGUCCCUUUAAAUAACCAUAUUGCUUAUUUAUAUAUAUGUUUACUUUGUGUA